rnacentral:lncRNA from 1 species
CGGGUUUCCGAGGCAUGGCCCUUGAUAGAAAAGCCUGGAGGUCUAGUAUCAGGGUUGUAGGAUAGGGGUCCCUAGAGUUUUCCGUACUCCUCACCCGGGGUUGGGUGAGGCUUGACAGGGCUAUACAUAUAUGAUUUGUGUUUUUGGAUUUUGUCUCCCCUAUGGUAGUUACUGUAUGAUACUAUUGCACGUUAUUUUAUUUAUGGUUCUUAUGUUUAGAUAAUUAUUUACGCUUUUUCUGCUGGACUUACUAAUGCUCUUUUGUUUUUGUUUCUCC